UUGAACAGUAGAGUUGAUUCCUUAACAUAGCGAUGAUCAAAGUGAUUAAUAUAACAUGUAUAAACAGCUUUACAGAUAUUUUUUGUGUGUGUAGAUGAUGUAAAAGCUGGAGGAUUUUGACAAUGUAAAUCAGUCAGAUUGUGAUGACAGCGAGUGUUCAGUAUCAGUUGUGGAGAUCAGAUUCACCUCUGCAGCUCCAUCAUGGAUCAAACACAAACAUCAACAGAUGAAGAUUUUUCUCCAGGAUGCAGUUCAUUUCAUCAGAAGAUAUCAGAUCCAGAUUUCAGCUGUGUGUCUAUGAAGAGUGACGGGUCUAUAUCUCAUCCACUUAAUUUUAAGAGUGAAGAUACAAUGCCUUAUCUCAGGCAUGUAAAAAUAAUCUGUGAUGCAGGAUUUUAUUUAACAUUUUUAUGAAUUGAUAUAGACCAUUUCAAAAGAUGUAAACAACACUGGUCCAGAAGCACUUCCUGUUUCCUUUUUUUAACACUAGAUAAACGUUGGGAUAAAAUAAACCAACAGAACAUAUAAACCUGAAUUAACUGAAGUUAAACAAACAUCUUAAAGAUAAUAAUAUAUGUGAAAUAAAAAAAUAACUGUCACAAACCGUAACAGGAAGUGUUUCUGGACCAGUGUUGUUUAC